CUGGUGAAUAACAACCAACACCUAUCAGCGAACUCUCGCUUCUCCAGAUGCCUAAAAGGAUGUCGUAACUGCAGAUUGAUGUAAAUUCUACUAAUAAAUCAAACAGCUAUUUGGAUUAUUGGCAUAGGGAUGAUGGAAAUCGUGGAUGAGGGGAUCGGUGACAUGGAGAUGCACACACCUCGUCUUGGCUGUGAUAAGUAAUAAUCUUUCACUCACACAGAUUAACAGGACUGAAGAUGCUGGAGACACAAGGGAUUGGAAACACACAGGAGAAUCACUGGAGAAUCAUAGGAGAUAACUUGAAGCUUGAGAAUACAGGUGAGCUGUAAAUGGGACCUCUGCUAUUUAUGGGGCCAUGGUCAAAGUCUUCUGAGCCUUCUGUCAAAGAUCAUCAGCCAGACUGGCAUCAUCUUGUUUGCCUGAGUGUCCUGAUGCCCGUUGCGACACAGGUCCCCUGCAGCUCAGACACCCACAGUGCUGUGAUUACAGAGAGUAAUGAACCACAGCCACAGGAAGGGGCACCACCAGCAGACCACCAGUUCCCAUAUGUGCCCCAGGCCUGCAGCUCAGCCUCCAGGAUGAAACCGCUGGGCGGGUAAACACAGGGGAGGGCACACAGCCACAGACAGAUUGCCAUCUCUCAUAAUCCACAGAGGGCACGACGGAGAGGAACAGCAGCGGCCGGGUCAGACAGGGAGGAGUUUGGCUAACUUAUCUAUGAGUCUAAUCAGCCUCUGACCAUACAUAAGCAAAGUAUUCAGUGGCUGAAUGUGUCAUGAAAAAGUACAGUUCCUUUUUACUAUUUUUGUGUUUUUAGUGUAUUUCCCCAGUCAAACCUAAACAAUGCAUAAUAGCCAUGUUAAAUGUGAGUGAAUCACUUCUUUGUAUGAAUUUUCCAAUGUACUGUUCAAUAGUUUGGUGUCAGUAAGAUUUUUUUUCUUGAAAGAAGUUAUUACUUUCAUUCAGCAAGGAUGCAUUAAAUUGAUAAGUAAAGUCUUUUAUAAUUUUACAAAAGAUUUAUCUUUCAAAUAAAUACUGAACUUUUUUAUUCACUGAAGAAUCCUGAAAAAAAAAGUCAUACAGAUUUCAUGAGGGUAAAUGAUAAUUUUUUAGUUUUUGAGUCAACUGUCCCUUUAAGGAAAAACACUGUGAUGUGACCAGUUACAUAGAUUAAAUGAUAAUGCCAUCACAGCAAUUGUCUAUUUUACUUUUAGAUGUAGUGCCUCUGUACUGUAUAUUGUGUGAUUCCCCUUUCACCAUCUGUGUGUUAUGGGUGAGGAUUUGAUAUCAGGCCAAAAAGAUCACAAGUAGGCCUAUGCUAUAAAUUUGUGGUGGCAAAGCAUGCAAUCUGUGAAAAUCAGACUCAAGGUGCUGUGUCCUGUCAAACAAAUCGUCUCUAGAUGAUUAAUGCCAGAUGUAUGCCACACAAAACACUGUGUUUAGCAGACACUGUGACACCUAGUUUUUCAAUGGUGUGAAUUAUAUUGACGCCUGAUAAAUUUAAUGCCUGUGGGUUUCCUAGGUACAUUGUGUAUCUGUCUGUGCUGUUUUGGUUCUUUUCCAAGGGUGUGAGAAGCAGCAUUCUCACACUCCUCAGCAAGCCUUUUAGUGUCUUCAAAUCAUAUAAAUGUGUUUUUAAAAUAUUAUGUACAAUUUUUCGCCUCAGUAAAUGCACAUUAAACCUUUAAAUUGUGAUUUUCAACUAGUGAUAUAGGUUAAGUCCAUCAGAGACCCCAGAAAGGAUUCUUAUCAAUUCUCAAAGUUGCUUCCUUUCUAAACUGAGUUAAGUGAAGUGCCUCUUUAAGCAGCGGCUUGUAGAGUAGGCCUAAUUCUGUUUAAACAAAGUGUUGUUGUACUGAAAUUUAUCAAAGUACGAUGCCUUGCUUUGACAAAGAUACCCAGCUUGAAGAUAAUUUGAAUGAUAACACUAUAAAAUACUCUGGACUGAAGUCACCUGACUCUCAAAUGGUUUUGUAAAGAUUUUUUGCUAAAUGCAUGUUUUUAGUUUUAUUGUGAAUGAUUCAUUCAUGAAUACGUUUCAUUUAUAAAAAUGUGUUGUUUUGACAAUAAUUUUUAAUAAAAAAUAUCAUAGCUCAA